CGACUUCUUCAAAGGACACGUCGUUGUCAAUAUCAACCAAAGCGCAAAAUGUCUGCAAAUGCAUCUUGUAGUACUUAAUAGAUGCAUUCAUGCAAGUCGGUUCCUCAAGUGGUCGAGAGCUUCGAGCAACCAGAAAUGUUUCCUCUUCAAAAUGUUUCCGGACUGGCCUUAAAAAAACCAAAACAAGCUUUUAUAUGGAACCAGCUCAUUGAAGAAAAAAUUGCUCAGAGGUCACAAACUACAUUCCUUGAAACGGAAGACAUUGUGGAGCCCGAAAGCAGGUGCAUCGACGCCCACUUUCCCCUCCCAUCACCUCGCAGAUGUUUCCCUUGAAAGGCGACGGCGCGCCUCCUUCCACCUCGACCCAUCCAAGUGCUCUCUUUUCUUCCCUUUGACGAACCUGGGGAGGUGAAACGACAGGAGAGCGGCGAGCAGGUUCCCAACGGUUUCUCAUGGACCGACCUGACCGUCCGACGAGACUGCUGCCGCUGCUGGUGUUUGACGCAACUACUGGCAAGUGCAUCUCUUUUGUUUAACACACA